UGGGGAAUAUUGGGCAAUGGGCGAAAGCCUGACCCAGCAACGCCGCGUGAGUGAUGAAGGCCUUCGGGUUGUAAAACUCUUUGGACAGGGACGUAGAAAGUGACGGUACCUGUAGAACAAGCCACGGCUAACUACGUGCCAGCAGCCGCGGUAAUACGUAGGUGGCGAGCGUUAUCCGGAUUUACUGGGCGUAAAGGGCGUGUAGGCGGCUAGAUAAGUGUGAUGUUUAAAUCCAAGGCUUAACCUUGGGGUUCAUUACAAACUGUUUAGCUUGAGUGCUGGAGAGGAUAGUGGAAUUCCUAGUGUAGCGGUAAAAUGCGUAGAUAUUAGGAGGAACACCGGUGGCGAAGGCGGCUAUCUGGACAGUAACUGACGCUGAGGCGCGAAAGCGUGGGGAGCAAACAGG
rnacentral:rRNA from 1 species